CCAAAACAGAAGCAAAAGAGAUACUGAAGUUUCAGAAUGACUUCUGAGAUCAUGCCUCCAGUUGACCUAUGGAUCUCUCUUCAAAAUUUCCUACCACUUCCCAAAAAUACCACCCGGGGGACCAAGCCUGCAUCACAGGAACCCUUGGAAAACAUGCUGAAAACAUACCCAAGCUGUAACAGUGAUGUUGUAUAUUCCUGCUUCCUGGCCAUUGUCGCUGUUAUACUGAGUGUUAAUUUGCCACCAAAUUAUCUGCUUUCAUCUGCUGUCUUGGACUGAAUUUGUGAUAUUCAUGUCUUCUAAACUCAAGUGUGAAAGAAGAAUGACUGUGAGUGACCUUGCAUGUGAAAAGACAGAGGGGCACAGAACAUUGAUGGCCUAGAAAGAAAACUGCUGAGGAUUUUGAAUCCAGGAGAACCACGUUGUCUUGGCUUUCUUACUCUUGAGAGAUGGAAAGAUGCACUGAAUUACAUCGAGAGGUACCAUUUUUAACAGGUCAGAGUCUGUGAAGAUCUGCCACAUCCACGAGAUGAGCCACCCAUUGAGAAUAAACACAGGUUGCCUCUUAAUAAUUGAAUUAGCUUUCCUCUAGAUAGGCUUGACUUUGAACUGGGUUUGAGUCGCCCUGUUGUAUUGUUCUCUCUCUAUUACGGUUAACAUAUGCUGAUUCUGUCAAAGACUAUGUAGAACAAAAAGAAAUUAGAAUUCUCCCUUAAGGCAACUCCUCAAAGGGUAAUUGUGGGCCUUAAAUGUGCCUGAUGUCAUUAAAAAUUGCCUCUGUUUAAAGGGAGAUCCUUUCAAUAGGUUCCUUACCAGCUUAGAGGGCAUUCUGAAAGGAACUAACUGGUCAAGAAUGCUAAGUCCUUUC